GACGAACGCUGGCGGCGUGCUUAACACAUGCAAGUCGAACGGAAAGGCCCUGCUCUUGUGGGUCGCUCGAUUGGCGAACGGGUGAGUAACACGUGAGUAACCUGCCCUUGACUUUGUGAUAACUUCAGGAAACUGGGGCUAUUACCGGAUAGGACCUCCUGCUCCAUGUUGGUGGUUGGAAAGUUUCGGCGGUUGGGUCUGGUCUCGCGGCUUACCCGCUUGUUGGUGGGGUAGUGGCUUACCAAGGCUUUGACGGCUAGUCGGCCUGAGAGGGUGACCGGCCACAUUGGGACUAAGAUACGGACCAGAAUCGUACGGGAGGCAGCAGUGGGGAAUAUUGCACAAUGGGGGGAAGCGAGAGGCAGCAACGCCGCGUGCGGGAUGACGGCCUUCGGGUUGUAAACCGCUUUCGCCUGUGACGAAGCGUGAGUGACGGUAAUGGGUAAAGAAGCAACGGCUAACUACGUG
rnacentral:rRNA from 1 species